AUGGGGUUGCAAAGAGUCGGACACAACUGAGUGACUGAACUGAACUGAGGCAGGUUUGGGGAUCACCAGUCUGUGCCCAAUGGUGUGCAACCUUCCAGCCUUCCGGUGUGUGGAGGGGCCAUAACAGCCCUUUUGAGGUGCCCUGGGAACUGCCAGGUUGAUAAAAAUGCAAAUGAGCCUGCAAAUGAUACAUUUCCUGAUCACAUCACACCUGACGCUUUGCGCUGCCUCUUACCUAACUAAGAUCUUUGUCCAUGGAAGCAAUUUAAGACUUCCUAUGAUCUUACCUCAGCUCCCAGCAUCCUUGUUUGUUCAAGGAUGCUGCUACUACCUCACUGCUGCUACCACCCGCCCUGCUAUGUGGCCGCUCCAGAGCCCUGUCACUACUGUAUCUGGCCACUGAAACUGGAAUUGUUUGUUUCCCAGAGUUAUAUGUGUCUAUGAUUGUAGGAUUCUAGCUUCUGUAAUAAGAUGUAUAUGACAUCUUAGCUGUUCUCAACAUGAUAUAUUUACUAAGCACAGCAAAACUUCUGGCCAGUUCCCUAACUGGGGCAAAGAUGGAAUUAGGACCUGGUAAAAGGUUGAGCUAAAAGAACAUUCUUUAGGAACUGCAGUGGCAUUGUUCUUAAGUGUAACUGAUAACCUGGCACAGAGGCUGGGCUGGGCUUUUUGUAAGGGAGGCAUGUAGACAACCAUUUAUUGUCACUACAAAUGGUGUUUGAAUGGAUAGCCUAAAAAAGAGCUUCCCUGGGCUUCCCUGGUGGUUCAGACGGUAAAGAAUCAGCCUGCAAAGUAGGAGCCCUGGGUCUAAUCCCUGGGCUGGGAUGAUCCCCUGGAGGGAGGGCAUGGCAACCCACUGCAGUAUUCUUGCCUGGACAGAGGAAGUAUUCCAUGGACAGAGGAACCUGGUGAGCUACACUUCAUGGGGUCUCAAAGAGUCGGAUACGACUGAGCGACCAAGCACAGCAACGGCAACAAACGGUGUUUGAAAGGAUAGCCUAGCAAAGAGCAGCUUGAAACAGGUUAUUAGUUUUAGCUUUACUUUGGACUAGUCACUGUCUUUGGAUUAUUUCCAGUCAUUUAUUUUCAUGUAUGAUGGCAAAGCAAAGUUCAGUUCAUUGUGGCCAGAAUUAUCCCAGAUUUUGAAUUUU
rnacentral:lncRNA from 1 species